rnacentral:rRNA from 1 species
GUAAGGGCUGCUGGUGGAUGCCUUGGUAUCGACAGGCGAAGAAGGACGCGUUAAUUUUAGCGAAAAGCCUCGGGGAGUUAAAAAGAGACUAUGAUCCGGGGGUCUCCGAAUGGGCCAACCCGAUAGAGCAAACCUCUAUCAUCUACAUCUGAAUUCAUAGGAUGUAAGAAGUAAACCCGCCGAAGGAAAACAUUUCAGUAAGCGGAGGAAAAUAAAUCAAACGAGAUUCCCUUAGUAGCGGCGAGCGAAAGGGGAGAAGCCCAAACCUAAAUAUUUAUAUUUAGGGGUUGUAGGACUAGCGCUGUGGUAUUUUUAUUUUAGCUAAACUGUCUGGAAAGUCAGACCAAAGCAGGUGAAAGUCCUUUAAGCGAAAAGAUAAAAAUGCCUAGUUAGUAUCCUGAGUAGGACCAGACACGGGAAACCUGGUCUGAAUCUGGGGGGACCACCCUCCAAGGCUAAAUACUCGUCGAUAACCGAUAGCGGACAAGUACCGUGAGGGAAAGGUGAAAAGAACCCUUGUUAAGGGAGUGAAAUAGAACCUGAAACCAGUAGCUUACAAGCGGUCAGAGGCCUAUGUACUUUUUUAAAGUAAACGGCUGAUGGCGUGCCUUUUGCAUGAUGAGCCAGCGAGUUAUAUUUUAUGGCAAGGUUAAGAAAUUUUCAUUUCGAAGCCGAAGGGAAACCGAGUGUGAAUAGCGCGAAUUAGUCAUAUAGUAUAGACACGAAGCCAAGUGAUCUAUCCAUGGCCAGGUUGAAGCAGAGGUAACACUCUGUGAAGGACCGAACCAGUUGAUGUUGAAAAAUCUUUGGAUGAGCUGUGGAUAGGGGUGAAAGGCCAAUCAAACUCGGAAAUAUCUUGUUCUCUCCGAAAUAACUUUAGGGUUAGCCUCAAGCAAUUACUUUUAGGGGUAGAGCACUGGAUCCACGCGGGGACCUACCGGUCUACCAAAGGGAACCAAACUCCGAAUACUAAAAGUUAGCUUGGGAGAUAGACAGUGGGGGAUAAGCUUCAUUGUCGAGAGGGGAACAGCCCAGAUUGUCGAUUAAGGUCUCUAAUUCUAUGCUAAGUGUGUAAGGAUGUGAAGUUUCAAAAACAGUUGGGAUGUUGGCUUAGAGGCAGCAACCAUUUAAAGAGUGCGUAACAGCUCACCAAUCGAGAGACUUUGCGCCGAAAAUAAUCGAGACUAAAGCAUAGAGCCGAAAUCACAAAUUCAUAAUUUAUUAUGAGUGGUAGGAGAGCGUAGUAUUUUCGUUGAAGCCGUACCGCAAGGAGCGGUGGAGAGUAUACUAGUGAAGAUGCAUGGCAUGAGUACACGAUAAAAAAGGUGAGAAUCCUUUUCGCCGAAAACCUAAGGUUUCCAGGGUAAAGUUCGUCUUCCCUGGGUUAGCCGGUCCCUUAGUCGAGGCUGAAAGGCGUAGAUGAUGGGAAGCAGGUUAAAUAUUCCUGCGCCUUUAAACACUAUGUGAUGGGGUGACAAAGUAAGUGAAGCUAGCGAUCUGUUGGAUGAUCGUUUUGCUACGUGGUAGAUAGAUAGGUAAAUCCGUCUAUAUAAUACUAGAUAGCAAACAAGGGGAAACUUCGGUGGAACCGAUGUGGUGAAUCAAGCUUUCAAGAAAUAGCCCCUAAUCUGUGUUUAAAGACCGUACCAAAACCGACACAGGUAGGUAGGAUGAGUAUUCUAAGGCGCGCGAGCUAACUCUCGUUAAGGAACUCGGCAAAUUAUCUCCGUAACUUCGGGAGAAGGAGAGCCCAUUUGGGUGAUAGAAUUUACUUCUUGAGCUCCAAUGGGCCGCAGAGAAAUGGUCCAGGCGACUGUUUAACAAAAACACAGCACUAUGCAAAGUCAAUAGACCAGGUAUAUGGUGUGAAGCCUGCCCAAUGCCCAAAGGUCAAAGCAAGGUGUUAGUCUUCGGACAAAGCACUGAACUUAAGCCCGGGUGAAUGGCGGCCGUAACUAUAACGGUCCUAAGGUAGCGAAAUUCCUUGUCGGGUAAGUUCCGACCUGCACGAAUGGCGCAACGAUCUGGACACUGUCUCAACGAGAGGCUCGGUGAAAUUGUAGUAGCCGUGAAGAUGCGGUUUACCCGCGAUAAGACGGAAAGACCCCGUGAACCUUUACUGUACUCUGAUAUUGGCUCUUGACUUGAUAUGUGUAGGAUAACCGGGAGGCUUUGAUCAAGGUUCGUUAGGAUCUUGUUAGCCAUCCUUGAAAUACCGGUCUUAUCAGGUUGAGAAUCUAACAAUACCCCAUGAAACUGGGGAUUGGACAUUGUCAGACGGGCAGUUUUACUGGGGCGGUAUCCUCCUAAAGAGUAACGGAGGAGUCCAAAGCUUACCUCAUCGUGGUUAGUAAUCACGAAUUGAGCGCAAAGGUAUAAGGUAAGUUGACUGCGAGACCUACAAGUCGAGCAGCUGCGAAAGCAGGGCUUAGUGAUCCGGCGGUAGAGAGUGGAAUCGCCGUCGCUCAACGGAUAAAAGGUACUCCGGGGAUAACAGGCUUAUCGCCACCAAGAGUUCAUAUCGACGUGGCGGUUUGGCACCUCGAUGUCGGCUCAUCGCAUCCUGGGGCUGGAGAAGGUCCCAAGGGUUUGGCUGUUCGCCAAUUAAAGCGGUACGCGAGUUGGGUUCAAAACGUCGUGAGACAGUUUGGUCCCUAUCUGUCGCGGGCGAAGGAUACUUGAGAGGAGCUGCUCCUAGUACGAGAGGACCGGAGUGGACGAACCAAUGGUGUGCCGGUUGUACUGCCAAGUGCAUAGCCGGGUAGCUAUGUUCGGAAAGGAUAAGCGUUGAAAGCAUCUAAACGCCAAGCCUCCCUCAAGAUUAGGUAUCCCUAUGAGAUCCCUUGAAGACUACAAGGUUGAUAGGUUGGAAGUGUAAGCAUAGCAAUGCGUUGAGCUUACCAAUACUAAUUGAUCCAUCGGCUUAAUC